rnacentral:rRNA from 1 species
UACGUAGGGGGCAAGCGUUAUCCGGAAUUACUGGGUGUAAAGGGUACGUAGGCGGUUCACUAAGUCAGAUGUGAAAGCCCGAGGCUCAACCUCGGGACUGCAUUUGAAACUGAUGAACUAGAGUACAGGAGAGGUAAGUGGAAUUCCUAGUGUAGCGGUGAAAUGCGUAGAUAUUAGGAAGAACACCAGUGGCGAAGGCGGCUUACUGGACUGUAACUGACGCUGAGGUACGAAAGCGUGGGGAGCGAACAGG